rnacentral:rRNA from 1 species
GAUGAACGCUGGCGGCGUGCCUAAUACAUGCAAGUCGAGCGAACGGACGAGAAGCUUGCUUCUCUGAUGUUAGCGGCGGACGGGUGAGUAACACGUGGAUAACCUACCUAUAAGACUGGGAUAACUUCGGGAAACCGGAGCUAAUACCGGAUAAUAUUUUGAACCGCAUGGUUCAAAAGUAAAAGACGGUCUUGCUGUCACUUAUAGAUGGAUCCGCGCUGCAUUAGCUAGUUGGUAAGGUAACGGCUUACCAAGGCAACGAUGCAUAGCCGACCUGAGAGGGUGAUCGGCCACACUGGAACUGAGACACGGUCCAGACUCCUACGGGAGGCAGCAGUAGGGAAUCUUCCGCAAUGGGCGAAAGCCUGACGGAGCAACGCCGCGUGAGUGAUGAAGGUCUUCGGAUCGUAAAACUCUGUUAUUAGGGAAGAACAUAUGUGUAAGUUACUGUGCACAUCUUGACGGUACCUUAUCAGAAAAGCACGGCUAACUACGUGCCAGCAGCCGCGGGUAUACGUAGGUGGGCAGCGUUAUCCGGAUUAUUGGGCGUAAAGCGCGCGUAGCGGUUUUUUAAGUCUGAUGUGAAAGCCCACGGCUCAACCGUGGUGUGGUCAUUGGAAACUGGAAAACUUGAGUGCAGAAGAGGAAAGUGGAAUUCCAUGUGUAGCGGUGAAAUGCGCAGAGAUAUGGAGGAACACCAGUGGCGAAGGCGACUUUCUGGUCUGUAACUGACGCUGAUGUGCGAAAGCGUGGGGAUCAAACAGGAUUAGAUACCCUGGUAGUCCACGCCGUAAACGAUGAGUGCUAAGUGUUAGGGGGUUUCCGCCCCUUAGUGCUGCAGCUAACGCAUUAAGCACUCCGCCUGGGGAGUACGACCGCAAGGUUGAAACUCAAAGGAAUUGACGGGGACCCGCACAAGCGGUGGAGCAUGUGGUUUAAUUCGAAGCAACGCGAAGAACCUUACCAAAUCUUGACAUCCUUUGACAACUCUAGAGAUAGAGCCUUCCCCUUCGGGGGACAAAGUGACAGGUGGUGCAUGGUUGUCGUCAGCUCGUGUCGUGAGAUGUUGGGUUAAGUCCCGCAACGAGCGCAACCCUUAAGCUUAGUUGCCAUCAUUAAGUUGGGCACUCUAAGUUGACUGCCGGUGACAAACCGGAGGAAGGUGGGGAUGACGUCAAAUCAUCAUGCCCCUUAUGAUUUGGGCUACACACGUGCUACAAUGGACAAUACAAAGGGCAGCGAAACCGCGAGGUCAAGCAAAUCCCAUAAAGUUGUUCUCAGUCCGGAUUGUAGUCUGCAACUCGACUACAUGAAGCUGGAAUCGCUAGUAAUCGUAGAUCAGCAUGCUACGGUGAAUACGUUCCCGGGUCU